rnacentral:rRNA from 1 species
GACGUAGGGGGCCAGCGUUGCUCGGAAUUACUGGGUGUAAAGGGUGCGUAGGCGGCGCGGUAAGUCGGGUGUGAAAUCUCGGAGCUUAACUCCGAAACUGCAUUCGAUACUGCCGUGCUUGAGGACUGGAGAGGAGACUGGAAUUUACGGUGUAGCGGUGAAAUGCGUAGAUAUCGUAAGGAAGACCAGUGGCGAAGGCGGGUCUCUGGACAGUUCCUGACGCUGAGGCACGAAGGCCAGGGGAGCAAACGGG